UCAAGUAGAGAGUUUUUUUCAAGGGUCACGGUUGACCUUGACCUUAUGCCAUGAAGUUGGUCCCAUUGCCCACUGCAUACUUCAUUGUCCUUUCAACUAUCUUUUACCUUCAAGGAUGGUCAAGCUGUGCAAGCUUUGGGACUGGAGGGGAACAUGACAAUAGCAGGCGUGGGCAGGAGAGGGAGGUGUCUUGCAAAGCACUAAAAGUGACAGCAGACAAGAAACACUGCAUUAGGGUGGAAUACCUUUCAGGGCCUAAGACAAGAAGAAACAAUAGGAAGGUUUGGAGACAACAGGUGCAGUUGCAGGACUGGAGAGCAGAGUGGUCUUGAUGGGGUUUGGAUCCUUUUGCUCUCACCACAAAGAUGGCACAGUCUUUAUGUCUUUGAAGACUCCUUAAAAUUAUUUUAUGUCUGACUCCCCUGAUGAAAGUUGGAUGCUUCUAUUGUCACCACAAAGAUAUUAAAGGCUUUAUAAGUCUU
rnacentral:lncRNA from 1 species